rnacentral:rRNA from 1 species
UGGGGAAUUUUGGACAAUGGGCGAAAGCCUGAUCCAGCAAUGCCGCGUGUGUGAAGAAGGCCUUCGGGUUGUAAAGCACUUUUGUCCGGAAAGAAAUCCUUGGCUCUAAUACAGUCGGGGGGAUGACGGUACCGGAAGAAUAAGCACCGGCUAACUACGUGCCAGCAGCCGCGGUAAUACGUAGGGUGCAAGCGUUAAUCGGAAUUACUGGGCGUAAAGCGUGCGCAGGCGGUUUGCUAAGACCGAUGUGAAAUCCCCGGGCUCAACCUGGGAACUGCAUUGGUGACUGGCAGGCUAGAGUAUGGCAGAGGGGGGUUAGAAUUCCACGUGUAGCAGUGAAAUGCGUAGAGAUGUGGAGGAAUACCGAUGGCGAAGGCAGCCCCCUGGGCAAUACUGACGCUCAUGCACGAAAGCGUGGGGA